rnacentral:rRNA from 1 species
AGGGUUUGAUCCUGGCUCAGAGCGAACGUUAGCGGCGGGCCUAACACAUGCAAGUCGAACGAGAAAAUCCCUUCGGGGGUGAGUAAAGUGGCGCACGGGUGAGGAACGCGUAGGUAAUCUACCCUCGGGCGGGGGACAACACUCCGAAAGGAAUGCUAAUACCGCGUAAGACCACACUCACUAAGGUGAGAGUGGUAAAAGGUGGCCUCUUCUUGAAAGCUACCGCCAGAGGAUGAGCCUGCGUCCCAUCAGCUUGUUGGUAAGGUAAAGGCUUACCAAGGCUAAGACGGGUAGCUGGUCUGAGAGGAUGAUCAGCCACACUGGCACUGGAACACGGGCCAGACUCCUACGGGAGGCAGCAGUGAGGAAUAUUGGGCAAUGGGCGCAAGCCUGACCCAGCCACGCCGCGUGAGUGAUGAAGGCCUUCGGGUCGUAAAGCUCUGUGGGGAGGGACGAAAAACUUCCAUUCGAAUAGGGUGGAGACUUGACGGUACCUCCUUAGCAAGCACCGGCUAACUCUGUGCCAGCAGCCGCGGUAAUACAGAGGGUGCGAACGUUGCUCGGAUUUACUGGGCGUAAAGCGCGUGUAGGCGGGCUCGCAAGUCGGUUGUGAAAUCCCUGGGCUUAACCUAGGAACUGCAUCCGAAACUGCUUGUCUUGAGUAAUGGAGAGGGGGGCGGAAUUCCCGGGGUAGAGGUGAAAUUCGUAGAUAUCGGGAGGAGCAUCAGUGGCGAAGGCGGCCACCUGGACAUUUACUGACGCUGAGACGCGAAAGCGUGGGGAGCAAACAGGAUUAGAUACCCUGGUAGUCCACGCCGUAAACGAUGAGCAUUAGGUGCAGCGGAUAUUGACCUCUGCUGUGCCGUAGCUAACGCGUUAAUGCUCCGCCUGGGGGAGUACGGCCGCAAGGCU